GACGAACGCUGGCGGCGUGCCUAACACAUGCAAGUCGAGCGAGAGACUUCGGUCUCUAGCGGCGGACGGGUGAGUAACACGUGGGUAACCUGCCUCAUAGUGGGGGAUAGCCUUCCGAAAGGAAGAUUAAUACCGCAUAUACUCUCGAUACCACAUGGUAUUUAGAGGAAAGGAGCAAUUCGCUAUGAGAUGGACCCGCGGCGCAUUAGCUAGUUGGUGAGGUAACGGCUCACCAAGGCGACGAUGCGUAGCCGACCUGAGAGGGUGAUCGGCCACAUUGGAACUGAGACACGGUCCAGACUCCUACGGGAGGCAGCAGUGGGGAAUGUUGCACAAUGGGCGAAAGCCUGAUGCAGCAACGCCGCGUGAGUGAUGACGGCCUUCGGGUUGUAAAGCUCUGUCUUUUGGGACGAUAAUGACGGUACCAAAGGAGGAAGCCACGGCUAACUACGUGCCAGCCGCCGCGGUAA
rnacentral:rRNA from 1 species